rnacentral:rRNA from 1 species
AGCAAUCUGCCUUGGAGUGGGGAAUAACGGUUGGAAACAGCCGCUAAUACCGCAUGAUGCGUCUGGGAGGCAUCUCUCUGGACGCCAAAGAUUUAUCGCUCUGAAGAUGAGCUCGCGUCUGAUUAGCUAGUUGGCGGGGCAACGGCCCACCAAGGCGACGAUCAGUAGCCGGACUGAGAGGUUGGCCGGCCACAUUGGGACUGAGACACGGCCCAGACUCCUACGGGAGGCAGCAG